AUUAAAACAUCUUCAAUAAAUCGUAUAAUAGAUCGAAUGUGGCGGUCAAGUUUCUACCAUAUCACCGUAAAUGAUAUGACUACGAUUGAAUCUUUUCCUGUU
rnacentral:ncRNA from 1 species